UCCGAAUUGGUGUAGUGGCUAACAUUUGACGCUCUCAUACUGUGGAGUACCGUCAAGCCCGGGGUUCGAUUCCCCGAUUCGGAG
rnacentral:tRNA from 1 species